GACGAACGCUGGCGGCGUGCUUAACACAUGCAAGUCGAGCGGAAAGGCCCUUCGGGGUACUCGAGCGGCGAACGGAUGAGUAACACGUGAGUAAUCUGCCCUUCACUCUGGGAUAGCCACCGGAAACGGUGAUUAAUACCGGAUACGACCACCGUGGGCAUCCGCUGGUGGUGGAAACUUUUUUGGGUGGGGGAUGUGCUCGCGGCCUAUCAGCUUGUUGGUGGGGUAAUGGCCUACCAAGGCUUCGACGGGUAGCCGGCCUGAGAGGGUGACCGGCCACACUGGGACGGAGCCACGGCCAAGACUCCUACGGGAGGCAGCAGUGGGGAAUAUUGGACAAUGGGCGUAAGCCUGUUCCAGCAACGCCGCGUGAGGGAUGACGGCCUUCGGGUUGUAAACCUCUUUCAGCACCGACGAAGCGCAAGUGACGGUAGGUGCAGAAGAAGGACCGGCCAACUACGUGCCAGCAGCCGCCGUAAUAC
rnacentral:rRNA from 1 species